CACUAAGCUUCUGCUACAAGCUAUCUACACCGAGCUUCUGCUACAAGUGAUCUACAUCGAGCUUCUGCUACAAGCGGUCUACUUCAAAUUUCUACUACGAGCGGUCCGCAUCGGAUUUCUACUGUAAGCCUCCACCCGAGCUUCCCUUGUGAACGAAUUUCUUUCGGACUUCUAUUGCAGGCAGGCUUCGGUCGAGCUUCCUCAACAAAUGAUCUCCAUCCGAACUUCUACGGGAACCAGAAAGCUCGCCAGCAACAUCCAAGCUCUUCUCAGACGGAGAGCUACCCCUCUCCACCAGACACCCCAACCGAGCUUCGGCUGACAGGCCUGGACUCCCUGGCAGGCCACAGUAAUGGCCACGACUCUGCUCCACUUCCUAUAACGGAUCCCACACGGCUCCAUCAUGCUCUGGCA
rnacentral:lncRNA from 1 species